GUCUUGACCAGCAGAUUAAGGAAAUAAAAGAGGUCAUUGAACUUCCCAUCAAGCAUCCAGAACUAUUUGAAAGUCUUGGAAUUGCACAACCAAAGGGAGUAUUGCUUUAUGGGCCUCCGGGAACUGGUAAAACUCUGCUAGCAAGGGCAGUUGCUCACCAUACUGACUGCACAUUUAUCCGGGUGUCUGGUUCUGAGCUUGUUCAGAAAUAUAUUGGAGAAGGGUCCAGAAUGGUUAGGGAACUUUUUGUUAUGGCUAGGGAGCAUGCCCCGUCAAUUAUUUUCAUGGAUGAAAUCGAUAGUAUUGGAUCUGCCAGAAUGGAGUCAGGCACUGGCAAUGGUGAUAGUGAAGUUCAAAGGACAAUGCUUGAGCUCUUGAACCAGCUUGAUGGUUUUGAAGCCUCAAACAAGAUAAAAGUUCUGAUGGCUACCAAUAGGAUAGACAUUUUGGACCAAGCGCUUCUCAGGCCUGGUCGUAUUGAUCGUAAAA
rnacentral:misc_RNA from 1 species